AACGGACGCUGGCGGCAGGCUUAACACAUGCAAGUCGAACGCCCCGCAAGGGGAGUGGCAGACGGGUGAGGAACGCGUGGGAAUCUACCCAGAUCUACGGAACAACAGUUGGAAACGACUGCUAAUACCGUAUCCGCACUACGGGGGAAAGAUUUAUCGGAUUUGGAUGAGCCCGCGUUGGAUUAGCUAGUUGGUGGGGUAAUGGCCUACCAAGGCGACGAUCCAUAGCUGGUCUGAGAGGAUGAUCAGCCACACUGGGACUGAGACACGGCCCAGACUCCUACGGGAGGCAGCAGUGGGGAAUAUUGGACAAUGGGCGCAAGCCUGAUCCAGCCAUGCCGCGUGAGUGAUGAAGGCCUUAGGGUUGUAAAGCUCUUUCACCGAUGAAGAUAAUGACGGUAGUCGGAGAAGAAGCCCCGGCUAACUUCGUGCCAGCCGCCGCCGUAACAC
rnacentral:rRNA from 1 species